CUUUGCUAGCUGCUUGUGUUCUUCUGAGACGACGAAUCAUUCGUAAAGUUUGGCCGAUUUUUGUAUUUUUGUUUACUUUGAUUCUUCUGCUGGAGUACUUUGCCAUGUGGAAGAGCUUGAUUCCUUUAAAUAAGCACCUACCAGAUCAAUCCGUGGUGCAUUGUCAUGAUUGCUGGAGUAGCUCGGCCUUUAAAUAAGCACCUACCAGAUCAGUCCGUGCAUUGUCAUGAUUGCUGGAGCAGCUCGGAUGCUUAUUUUGAUUAUUGUAAAAAGUGUUGGCUUGGUAUGAUUCUUUCAGUAGUAUUUGGCAUUGUAUUUUUCAGCCACAUCUGAUUUUUCUUUUACCUCCUUGCAUUAUCCCUAUGUUCUAAA
rnacentral:lncRNA from 1 species